rnacentral:rRNA from 1 species
AACGAACGCUGGCGGCGUGCCUAACACAUGCAAGUCGAGCGCGAAAGGAGCAAUCCGAGUAGAGCGGCGCACGGGUGCGUAACACGUGGAUAAUCUGCCCUUGAAUUCGGGAUAACCUUCCGAAAGGUUGGCUAAUACCGGGUAAGCUCACGGUGACUUCGGUCGCUGUGGGAAAAGUAGACCUCUGUUUACAAGUUUACGUUUGAGGAUGAGUCCGCGGCCCAUCAGCUAGUUGGCGGGGUAAUGGCCCACCAAGGCUACGACGGGUAGCUGGUCUGAGAGGACGAUCAGCCACACUGGAACUGAGACACGGUCCAGACUCCUACGGGAGGCAGCAGUGGGGAAUUUUCCACAAUGGGCGAAAGCCUGAUGGAGCAACGCCGCGUGUGUGAUGAAGGUCUUCGGAUCGUAAAGCACUUUCGACCG